rnacentral:rRNA from 1 species
GCUGGAGGUAUCAGAAGUGCGAAUGCUGACAUAAGUAACGAUAAAGCGGGUGAAAAGCCCGCUCGCCGGAAGACCAAGGGUUCCUGUCCAACGUUAAUCGGGGCAGGGUGAGUCGACCCCUAAGGCGAGGCCGAAAGGCGUAGUCGAUGGGAAACGGGUUAAUAUUCCCGUACUUGGUGUUACUGCGAAGGGGGGACGGAGAAGGCUAUGUUGGCCGGGCGACGGUUGUCCCGGUUUAAGCGUGUAGGUGUGUGUUCCAGGUAAAUCCGGUUCACUUUAACACUGAGGCGUGACGACGAGGCACUACGGUGCUGAAGCAACAAAUGCCCUGCUUCCAGGAAAAGCCUCUAAGCAUCAGGUAACAUCAAAUCGUACCCCAAACCGACACAGGUGGUCAGGUAGAGAAUACCAAGGCGCUUGAGAGAACUCGGGUGAAGGAACUAGGCAAAAUGGUGCCGUAACUUCGGGAGAAGGCACGCUGACACGUAGGUGAAGUGAUUUACUCAUGGAGCUGAA